GCGCGAAAACUUUACAAUGCGGGAAACCGUGAUAAGGGGACACCGAGUGCCAGCAUCAUAUGCUGGCUGUCCAGGUGUGUAAAAUACACCUGUUAGCAAGGGCCGGGCAAGACCGGUGCCAGCCGCCGCGGUAACACCGGCGGCCCGAGUGGUGAUCGUGAUUAUUGGGUCUAAAGGGUCCGUAGCCGGUUUGGUCAGUCCUCCGGGAAAUCUGACGGCUCAACCGUUAGGCUUUCGGGGGAUACUGCCAGGCUUGGAACCGGGAGAGGUAAGAGGUACUACAGGGGUAGGAGUGAAAUCUUGUAAUCCCUGUGGGACCACCUGUGGCGAAGGCGUCUUACCAGAACGGGUUCGACGGUGAGGGACGAAAGCUGGGGGCACGAACCGGAUUAGAUACCCGGGUAGUCCCAGCCGUAAACGAUGCUCGCUAGGUGUCAGGCAUGGCGCGACCGUGUCGUGGUCGCCGCGAGGGAACGCCGUAGAAGCGACGCCACCGUGGGAAGUACGGCCGACAACGGCUAAGAAACGUUAAAGGAAGUUGGGACGGGGGAGACCGAACAACGAACGGGGGUA
rnacentral:rRNA from 1 species